GACGAACGCUGGCGGCGUGCUUAACACAUGCAAGUCGAACGGAAAGGCCCUGCUUUUGUGGGGUGCUCGAGUGGCGAACGGGUGAGUAACACGUGAGUAACCUGCCCUUGACUUUGGGAUAACUUCAGGAAACUGGGGCUAAUACCGGAUAGGAGCUCCUGCUGCAUGGUGGGGGUUGGAAAGUUUCGGCGGUUGGGGAUGGACUCGCGGCUUAUCAGCUUGUUGGUGAGGUAGUGGCUUACCAAGGCUUUGACGGGUAGCCGGCCUGAGAGGGUGACCGGCCACAUUGGGACUGAGAUACGGCCCAGACUCCUACGGGAGGCAGCAGUGGGGAAUAUUGCACAAUGGGCGGAAGCCUGAUGCAGCAACGCCGCGUGCGGGAUGACGGCCUUCGGGUUGUAAACCGCUUUCGCCUGUGACGAAGCGUGAGUGACGGUAAUGGGUAAAGAAGCAACGGCUAACUACGUG
rnacentral:rRNA from 1 species